rnacentral:lncRNA from 1 species
AUGGGAAGGCGUUGCGCGUGCCCAUUUGGGCUUGCACGCCUUCCUCGCGGGCCUGAAGACCUGGUGUGCCGAGUUGAGAGGGGGGUCGGAGUUCUCCUCGCUUUUGCCCCGUCGGGGUGUCUCGCGAAAAUAUCGUCCCUUCUGCUGCAGCCGUCUUACUGCAGCAGCGAGGAAAUUCCCAAAGCCUUUUUUAGUCAGAGAAACCGCUCUGCUCCGCCUGGAUUUCUUUGCCAUGUGCUGUUUAUCUGCUGGUUUCAGAAGUGCUGCUUUUCGGGACUCCUUCAGACACGGGCGCAUUGUUUUCUACCCGCUAACCGGCAAAGAUGGCUGUCACAUUACACACUGAUGUUGGAGAUGUUAAAAUUGAGUUAUUCUGUGAACGAACACCAAAAGCUUGUCAAAAUUUUCUGGCUCUCUGUGCUAGCAACUACUACAAUGGCUGUACUUUUCAUCGAAAUAUCAAAGGCUUCAUGGUUCAGACGGAGACCCAACUGGUAAUACCUUUUAUGAAAAUUAGAUAUACUAUGCCAUUCUCCUGAAGCAAGACUACUUUACUGUUAAGAAAAACAUUUUAUUACAAAUAUGAACAUGAUAAUUGUAAUUUUAUGUAUUUACUAUGUAAAUUUUGCAAACUGAUUUGCCUAAGUUGGUUUUUUUAAUACCCAGAUGA